rnacentral:rRNA from 1 species
CCGGCGAUGUCCGAAUGGGGAAACCCAGUGCAAUUCGUUGCACUAUCGUUAACUGAAUACAUAGGUUAACGAGGCGAACCGGGGGAACUGAAACAUCUAAGUACCCCGAGGAAAAGAAAUCAACCGAGAUUCCCCCAGUAGCGGCGAGCGAACGGGGAGCAGCCCAGAGUCUGAAUCAGCUUGUGUGUUAGUGGAACGGUCUGGAAAGUCCGACGGUACAGGGUGAUAGUCCCGUACACCAAAAUGCACAGGUUGUGAACUCGAAGAGUAGGGCGGGACACGUGGUAUCCUGUCUGAAUAUGGGGGGACCAUCCUCCAAGGCUAAAUACUCCUGACUGACCGAUAGUGAACCAGUACCGUGAGGGAAAGGCGAAAAGAACCCCGGCGAGGGGAGUGAAAAAGAACCUGAAACCGUGUACGUACAAGCAGUGGGAGCACCUUCGGGUGUGACUGCGUACCUUUUGUAUAAUGGGUCAGCGACUUAUAUUCUGUAGCAAGGUUAACCGUAUAGGGGAGCCGCAGGGAAACCGAGUCUUAACUGGGCGUUAAGUUGCAGGGUAUAGACCCGAAACCCGGUGAUCUAGCCAUGGGCAGGUUGAAGGUUGGGUAACACUAACUGGAGGACCGAACCGACUAAUGUUGAAAAAUUAGCGGAUGACUUGUGGCUGGGGGUGAAAGGCCAAUCAAACCGGGAGAUAGCUGGUUCUCCCCGAAAGCUAUUUAGGUAGCGCCUCGUGAACUCAUCUUCGGGGGUAGAGCACUGUUUCGGCUAGGGGGUCAUCCCGACUUACCAACCCGAUGCAAACUACGAAUACCGAAGAAUGUUAUCACGGGAGACACACGGCGGGUGCUAACGUCCGUCGUGAAGAGGGAAACAACCCAGACCGCCAGCUAAGGUCCCAAAGUCAUGGUUAAGUGGGAAACGAUGUGGGAAGGCACAGACAGCCAGGAUGUUGGCUUAGAAGCAGCCAUCAUUUAAAGAAAGCGUAAUAGCUCACUGGUCGAGUCGGCCUGCGCGGAAGAUGUAACGGGGCUAAACCAUGCACCGAAGCUGCGGCAGCGACACUAUGUGUUGUUGGGUAGGGGAGCGUUCUGUAAGCCUGCGAAGGUGACCUGUGAGGGUUGCUGGAGGUAUCAGAAGUGCGAAUGCUGACAUAAGUAACGAUAAAGCGGGUGAAAAGCCCGCUCGCCGGAAGACCAAGGGUUCCUGUCCAACGUUAAUCGGGGCAGGGUGAGUCGACCCCUAAGGCGAGGCCGAAAGGCGUAGUCGAUGGGAAACAGGUUAAUAUUCCUGUACUUGGUGUUACUGCGAAGGGGGGACGGAGAAGGCUAUGUUAGCCGGGCGACGGUUGUCCCGGUUUAAGCAUGUAGGCUGGUUAUCCAGGCAAAUCCGGAUAAUCAAGGCUGAGGUGUGAUGACGAGGCACUACGGUGCUGAAGUAACAAAUGCCCUGCUUCCAGGAAAAGCCUCUAAGCAUCAGGUAACAUCAAAUCGUACCCCAAACCGACACAGGUGGUCAGGUAGAGAAUACCAAGGCGCUUGAGAGAACUCGGGUGAAGGAACUAGGCAAAAUGGUGCCGUAACUUCGGGAGAAGGCACGCUGGUGUGUAGGUGAAGUCCCUGCGGAUGGAGCUGAGACCAGUCGAAGAUACCAGCUGGCUGCAACUGUUUAUUAAAAACACAGCACUGUGCAAACACGAAAGUGGACGUAUACGGUGUGACGCCUGCCCGGUGCCGGAAGGUUAAUUGAUGGGGUUAUCCGUAAGGAGAAGCUCUUGAUCGAAGCCCCGGUAAACGGCGGCCGUAACUAUAACGGUCCUAAGGUAGCGAAAUUCCUUGUCGGGUAAGUUCCGACCUGCACGAAUGGCGUAAUGAUGGCCAGGCUGUCUCCACCCGAGACUCAGUGAAAUUGAACUCGCUGUGAAGAUGCAGUGUACCCGCGGCAAGACGGAAAGACCCCGUGAACCUUUACUAUAGCUUGACACUGAACAUUGAGCCUUGAUGUGUAGGAUAGGUGGGAGGCUUUGAAGCGUGGACGCCAGUCUGCGUGGAGCCAACCUUGAAAUACCACCCUUUAAUGUUUGAUGUUCUAACGU